UACGUAGGGGGCAAGCGUUGUUCGGAAUUAUUGGGCGUAAAGCGCGCGUAGGCGGUUAUUCAAGUCGGAUGUGAAAGCCCUCGGCUUAACUGAGGAAGUGCACCCGAAACUGAGUAGCUAGAGUACCAAAGAGGGUCGCGGAAUUCCCGGUGUAGAGGUGAAAUUCGUAGAUAUCGGGAGGAACACCGGUGGCGAAGGCGGCGACCUGGGUGGAUACUGACGCUGAGGCGCGAAAGCGUGGGGAGCAAACAGG
rnacentral:rRNA from 1 species